CCUACGGGAGACAGCAGUGAGGAAUAUUGGACAAUGGGCGUAACCCUGAACCAGCCAAGUCGCGUGAGGGAUGAAGGUUCUCUGUAUCGUAAACCUCUUUUACAAGGGAAUCAAGUGCGCGACGUCUCACGUUUAAUCUGUACCUUAUUAAUUAGGAUCGGCUAACUCCGUGCCAGCAGCCGCGGUAAUACGGAGGAUCCGAGCGUUAUCAGGAUUUAUUGGGUGUAAAGGGUGCGUAGGCGGCCUUUUAAGUCCGCGGUGAAAGGCUGGGGCUCAACCCUAGUAUUGACGUUGAAACUGGGAGGCUGGAGUAUGUGAGAGGCAGGCGGAA
rnacentral:rRNA from 1 species